AUGACAGAGAGAGGCAGCACUCAGUCUAGGACCUGAUGGGCCUGCAGUCCAAAUAGAGCACCUGAUUCGUUGCCGACUGACUCUGUUGCUCUGUCUCUCAGCAUUAUGGAUGAACCUGCAAUCAAUAAGGAAAUAAUGGAUCCCACCACAUCAACAGAAACAGAAG